UUUAAAUGUAAAUUUAUUUGCUUAAUUAGUAUUAGUUAUGUUCUUGAAAAUUAAAAAAUUUGGCGGUAUUUUAGUCUUUUCAGAGGAACCUGUCCUAUAAUUGAUAAUCCACGAUUAAUUGUACUUAUCUUAUUAAUUUGUAUAUCGUCGUAGUUUGAAUAUUUUAAAAGAAUUUAAAUAUUCAAUUUUAUUAAUAAAUAAAGAAAUCAGAUCAAGGCGCAGUUUAUAGGUAAGAAGAGAUGGGUUACAAUAAAUUUAUUUUUGGUUUAAUUAAUGAAAUUUAAUUAAUAAAUUGGAUUUGAAAGUAAUUUUUUAUAUUUAUUAAAAAUGAUUUAAGCUCUAAAAUAUGC
rnacentral:rRNA from 1 species